rnacentral:rRNA from 1 species
CAACGUAGCUACGGCGAGCGACCGGGAUAGCCCAACUUGAAAAUCUCCCUUUGGAGAAUUGUAGUCUAGAGAAGCGCUUUCUAGGGCUGGCGGAGCUCAAGUCGGAUCGAAUGCCGCGUCAGAGAGGGUGAUAACCCCGUCGGUUCCUGCCUAGUCCUUCCACGAAGUGCUUUCCACGAGUCGGGUUGUUUGGGAAUGCAGCCCUAAUUUGGAGGUAAAUCCCUUCUAAGGCUAAAUACUGCCGAGAGACCGAUAGCGAACAAGUACCGUGAGGGAAAGAUGAAAAGAACUUUGAAAAGAGAGUUAAAAGUGCUUGAAAUUGUUGAGAGGGAAGCGAUUGGCGCUCGUAGGUGCGCCCAGGCUUAAGCGGUCCUAACGGCCCGUUGAAUGUGCUGGGUGCUGGUCAGAAUGGGUUAAGUUGGCGGGAUAAAAGCAGGGUCCACCCAGGUAACCCUGCCGAUGCCGCCGACUUGACCAAGGCGUAAAGAGUACUUUGUCCCUCGGGAUCUGUGCUCUAAAGAUUCUGGCAGAAGAGCGUCAAUCGACCCGUCUUGAAACACGGACCAAGGAGUCUAACAUGUAUGCGAGUUGGCGGGUGGAAAACCCGUAAGCGCAAGUAACCUGACUGGUGGGAUGGGGUAAAACCCUGCACCAUCGACCGACCAUGUUGUUUCUACGAAAGGUUUGAGUGCGAGCAUACCUGUUGGGACCCGAAAGAUGGUGAACUAUGCCUGAGCAGGGUGAAGCCAGAGGAAACUCUGGUGGAGGCUCGUAGAUGUGCUGACGUGCAAAUCGCUUUUCAGACUUGGGUAUAGGGGCGAAAGAUAACACCCCUCUUUUAAAAGAAAAAAAAAAUUUUAUUUAGGUGGU